rnacentral:rRNA from 13 species
CUGGCGGCAGGCUUAACACAUGCAAGUCGAGCGGGGUGAUGUAGCUUGCUACAUUACCUAGCGGCGGACGGGUGAGUAAUGCUUAGGAAUCUGCCUAUUAGUGGGGGACAACAUUCCGAAAGGAAUGCUAAUACCGCAUACGCCCUACGGGGGAAAGCAGGGGAUCUUCGGACCUUGCGCUAAUAGAUGAGCCUAAGUCAGAUUAGCUAGUUGGUGGGGUAAAGGCCUACCAAGGCGACGAUCUGUAGCGGGUCUGAGAGGAUGAUCCGCCACACUGGGACUGAGACACGGCCCAGACUCCUAC